ACUGCUGGGUUGGCCUGAGCUGUGCUGUAUCAGAGAUUCUCUGACAGUAGAGCAAAAAAAGCUGAUUUGGCUUUUCUGCCAGGAGGAUCCCAGAGCAAAGGCCUAGAAGACCUUGCAGAGUGAUGCAGGCCUGCUGUUGUGCCUCAGAUAAGGAUGCUUCGUGCUGGGCUUCUCAGGAACCUGGUCUCUUAUCAGAUGUGGCUGAAUGCAAGGUUUGCCAUCUUCUGCAGACAACUGUAGGGUUAGCAGGACCACUGCUAAUCAAGUCUGCCCAGCAAAGAACACUGGCCGACAACUCCCGGGAAAGGAAACACAAGUGACUAAAGAGCAUGGAUGCUGCAUGUGCAGGAGUAGUCGGCAUUGCGAAUCAACAUGGUGACCCAAGUUCAGUUCCCAGCACCAUCUAUGACUUCAGCUCCAAGGGAUCCAACGCCUUCCUCUGGGAUCCUUGCACCCCACCCUGAAACACACACACACACACACACACACACACACACACACACACACACGAGAGAGAGAGAGAGAGAGAGAGAGAGAGAGAACACAAAGAUAUAAGUAAACAUAAAUAAGACAGAAUACACACAAACAUAUAAAUAAACAUGAAUCUAAAACAAAAGUGAAUUCAUAUUCUGGUAGUAGGAAAUUAUGCAAAAGAUACAUGACUGAUACGAUCACAAUUAUAUAAAAUGUAAAAUGACAGUACAAAAUAAAGAACCAAGUCAAAA